UACGAAGGGGGCUAGCGUUGCUCGGAAUUACUGGGCGUAAAGCGCACGUAGGCGGAUUGUUAAGUCGGGGGUGAAAUCCUGGAGCUCAACUCCAGAACUGCCUUCGAUACUGGCGAUCUCGAGUUCGGGAGAGGUGAGUGGAACUGCGAGUGUAGAGGUGAAAUUCGUAGAUAUUCGCAAGAACACCAGUGGCGAAGGCGGCUCACUGGCCCGAUACUGACGCUGAGGUGCGCAAGCGUGGGGAGCAAACAGG
rnacentral:rRNA from 1 species